rnacentral:snRNA from 1 species
GCUGCCACGAUCCACUGAG